CUGUUUGUUUUCCUGUUACUUAUCAGAAAGGUUUAUUUGCGAUUGCUUGAGAGGCGGGGGGAAAAACCCUCUGUAGCCACAGGCAGACAAGCUCAGCGCUCAGGAACAUAAUGGCUGGAGCCCGCGGACCCAUAUGCUCGCCAUCCUGCGAGGUGGAAGGCCAGCUCUGAUCACAUCCAGCUGCUCAGGAUACGACUGAUCAGCACUUCACUGCACCCCCAAUGUUUUUGGGCAAGACACUUUUGGAAGACCACCUCAACCAGACCAUAUCUUCAAAGACCCGGACCUCCAGUGACGUUAGGCAAUAAUUUUGUAUUUUGGAAUAUCUUCUUACUUCUAUGCAUUGCAACCUUUCACAGCACACUAUCGCCUGACACAGAAGCACAGACCACUAAUGGCAUCAUAUAAAUAAGUGCCGGUUUCAUGGUGAUGAACAGCAAGGAAGACUGAAGUCAGAGAACGAUCGAAGAGGAUAUGAACAUAGGAAAUUACCAGAGGAGGGACUUUUAGUAACUGGGAGAGAGAUGAAUAAUGGCCAUGCUUCUCUCCGUUACCCAGAGAUGACUAAUUACUGUGGGGGCUCUGAGAUAAGAAAACCAAACCCAGGUUUUGUACAUUGGCAAAACCCCCCCAGAGGAACAUUUAAUUCCUCCUUCUUAAGGGCUCAUUCCCUACCUUAUACCCCUCUGCAACCUCAGGAUCUAUUCUAUGUAUUUACACGUAUUCCUACAGCCUCUCGGAAACGCCGACUGUGCCCAUUCCUACCUUUGCCCUGUGGCAACCCAAGGCCAUUCCCCCGUGCCUGCCUGCAGCCAGCCCUGUUUGCCGCAGGGAAUGGCAGAGCGCCGCAGCCCAUACCCUCAGGAACAGAUGUUGGCUUUGUAACUUUAACCCCCCUUCAAGCCAUCCCCCUCCCUCCCUCCUCAUCCGGCACCUUCAGCCUACUUGCCAUCCAAUUUGUUACCUACAAGGAAGGUCAGGGUCCCGCUGGGUGCCGUACAUCUCCUCUCAGCUUGGGGCACUUAGUUUCACAUUUUUUCUCCCACUAAACAAGAUGUUGGAGCACAGAAAGAACAAGGCAAAGAAACUGGCUUGAGAGGAGGACCAACACAGGCCCUGUCUCGUGGGGGAGGAUUUGUCCUUGCUUCCCCCCCCCAGUACAUUCUCCAAUGUCCUGGUAACAGGCACAGAUUUCCAGGAGAGCAAAUGCCUCUGCAAGCUCCUGAGAUAUUCAGUUUCCAGUGGGAGCAGCAUUAGCUCUUAUGAGUUUGACAUGCUGGGCUGAUUUGUGGUGUGAACACACUCUAAUUAGUCAUUUAACUUAAGAACUAAGACUCCCAAGAGAAGAUUUCAGAGGGGAAUUCAGAGCUCUUCAGACUGAAAUUAUCAACUGCCUAAUGCAAUUGUUCUGCAUCUUCUUUUCAUGAUCUCUUCCCAUCUCCCUCUCUCUGACUAUCUAUUAAAAACAGGUGGAAUGAAUAUUUCCACAUCUUUGCCAAACCAUGGCUUGUGUAGCCUCCCCUGAAGGCACUUGCGUAAAUUCACAUCCGGAUUUGGGCUGGGGAAAGGAAAAUCUGUUCAAGAGCAUGGAGCUGGUCCGCAGCAAGUGCUGCUUCACAUCUGCCCGAUACAAUGGAAGGAACCGGUGAAACUGGUUGAAAAUUCCAAGCCUCCAGCAUGCAAAGGGAUUCUUGGAGAUGGAUGCUCUGAACACUAGACUUGACCCGGACUGCGCUUUAAGUUUGAAUCCUGAUCUAAGCAUCAAACCUAAGCCUGCAUCUUAAAAUGAUCCUAGUUUUAGUUGAACAUCCCCACUGCCCCGAGAUUAUUUGAAAGUUCCUGUAAACAACCACGACGGAGUGCCAGUCUUUGCUACUCUCCCAAUGUACAUCCCAGAGACUGGAUGCCUUGGGUCUAUGGUAUUCCCAGCUCCAGUACAGCCAUGCUGAGUAACCUUAGCACAGUAGUUUCCCCAGCUUGUGCUCCUCCUAAUAGAAGAGACAAGCAAGUGACUUUGUGCAUGGUUUGGAAAGUUCCCAGCUGGUUUAGCAAGGCUCUAUUAAGGGAUUUAAUCCCCUGAAAAGAUGCAGGCUGUGCAAUAUUUGGCUUCACAUCGGAUUAUUGUCCAACUUGCUGGCUGUAAAAUAAAACUUACUCCUACGCAGGUUAGCCUGCUGGAGAAAGCACUGGCCUGGGAUUUGGGAAACUUGCAGCAGGAUUCAGAUCACCUCAUCAGGUACCUCAAUCAUGACGCUGUUCAAGCACCCAGAGCAUUUAGUCUCAAAUCUUGCCUAAUGCAGAAGGGGCUCAAAGUCUCACCAACACAUAUUUCGGGCUGCAAUACUCUCCCCCGUACCUGUGCAGAAGCUCCUCAGGUAGCUGAGCUACAGACACCAUCCCACGUUCUGCCACAGUCCAGAUCCAGAGAGCCAUCCACAGUUCCCUUGGCCAAACCUGCUGAAACACUUUCAACUGGGUUCCCAGCUCAACACAGAGGACACCAGGAUGCCCCUGGAGGGACCAGCUCCCAGUUAACUUCACAAAGUGCCUGGGCACCCCUGUAUCAUGCCCUUGGGUCAAGCAUCUACUUCAGGCAUCACAAUGCCUAAGCCAGGUAUACAAAGUAGGUAUUAUGGUAUGUGGGCCUGGAUUGCCAAUCCUGAAGCUGCUCCAGCUAGAGGAUUUGGACAAGUUGCUUCACCUCUCAGUGCCGCAGUUUCCUUAUCUCUAAGACGGUAAGACUGAUAAACAUUCAAAGCACACCGCAAGA